GCUGGCGGCAGGCCUACACAUGCAGUCGAGCGGAGAGAGGUAGCUGCUACUGAUCUUAGCGGCGGACGGGUGAGUAAUGCUUAGGAAUCUGCCUAUUAGUGGGGGACAACAUUUCGAAAGGAAUGCUAAUACCGCAUACGUCCUACGGGAGAAAGCAGGUGAUCUUCGGACCUUGCGCUAAUAGAUGAGCCUAAGUCGGAUUAGCUAGUUGGUGGGGUAAAGGCCUACCAAGGCGACGAUCUGUAGCGGGUCUGAGAGGAUGAUCCGCCACACUGGGACUGAGACACGGCCCAGACUCCUACGGGAGGCAGCAGUGGGGAAUAUUGGACAAUGGGCGCAAGCCUGAUCCAGCCAUGCCGCGUGUGUGAAGAAGGCCUUAUGGUUGUAAAGCACUUUAAGCGAGGAGGAGGCUACUUUAGUUAAUACCUAGAGAUAGUGGACGUUACUCGCAGAA
rnacentral:rRNA from 1 species